CACUGUCAAAGAAAACAACAAUUUUCACGGACCUUCAAGUAAAUGUACAAGCUGUGAGAGAAGAAUAGCUGGCUCGUGGCAGCCAAGCGCUCAUAGCGAGGUUGCUUUUUGAUCCUUCGACGACGGCUUUCUUUUCACACUGAAGCAGAAUUCAGUAAGCGUUGGAUUGUUCACUCACUUAUAGGGAACAUGCGUUGGGUUUAGGCCGUCGUGAGACAGGUUAGUUUUAAUCUACUGAAGGAAUGUUAUUGCAAUGGUAAUUGAUUUAGUACGAGAGGAACUAUUCAUUUGGAUAGUUGUUAUUUGAGGCGGCCUGAGCAGGCAAUGUCCCGAAGCUAUCAUCCGUUGGGUUAUGGCUGAACACCUCUAAGUCAGAACCCGUGCUAGAACGCGACGAGAAUACCGCCUUGGCUAUUUUUAGUUGAAUACGAAUAGACAUACGAUCCAGAAUCAUACGAACAUGGGGUCAUGUUGGAGAGCUGAAAGGCUUUGUGAGGUUCCUGCUAAUGUUAGUUUCAAAUAUUGUCAAGGAUAAACCCAUUGCAGAUGACUCUAAUUGAACGGGGUAUUGUAAGCAGUAGAGCAGCCAUGUUGCUACGAUCUGCUGAGAUUAAGGCCAUUAUUCUAUAGAUUU
rnacentral:ncRNA from 1 species